rnacentral:rRNA from 1 species
GUGGGGAAUCUUGCGCAAUGGGCGAAAGCCUGACGCAGCGACGCCGCGUGGGGGAAGAAGGCCUUAGGGUUGUAAACCUCUUUCAGGUGGGACGAAGCCACUCGGGUUAAUAGCCCAGAGGGUGACGGUACCGCCAGAAGAAGCCCCGGCUAACUACGUGCCAGCAGCCGCGGUAAUACGUAGGGGGCAAGCGUUGUCCGGAUUUAUUGGGCGUAAAGAGCGUGUAGGCGGCCAGGUAGGUGGGUUGUGAAAACUGGAGGCUCAACCUUCAGACGUCGACCCAAACCCCCUGGCUAGAGUCCGGAAGAGGAGAGUGGAAUUCCUGGUGUAGCGGUGAAAUGCGCAGAUAUCAGGAAGAACACCCGUGGCGAAGGCGGCUCUCUGGGACGGUACUGACGCUGAGACGCGAAAGCGUGGGGAGCGAACAGGAUUAGAAACCCUUGUAGUCC